rnacentral:rRNA from 1 species
GACGAACGCUGGCGGCGUGCUUAACACAUGCAAGUCGAACGGAAAGGCCCUGCUUUUGUGGGGUGCUCGAGUGGCGAACGGGUGAGUAACACGUGAGUAACCUGCCCUUGACUUUGGGAUAACUUCAGGAAACUGGGGCUAAUACCGGAUAGGAGCUCCUGCUGCAUGGUGGGGGUUGGAAAGUUUCGGCGGUUGGGGAUGGACUCGCGGCUUAUCAGCUUGUUGGUGGGGUAGUGGCUUACCAAGGCUUUGACGGGUAGCCGGCCUGAGAGGGUGCCCGGCCACAUUGGGAAUGAGAUAAGGCCCAGGAUCCUACGGGAGGCAGCAGGUGGGAAUAUUGGAACAUGGGCGGAAGCCUGAUGCAGGAAAGCCGGGGGCGGGAAUACGGCCCUUGGGGUUGAAACCCGUUUCGGCUGGGAACGAGGGUGAGUGACGGUAAUUGGUAAAGAAGGAACGGCUAACUACGUG